CUACUUCAUAUGCUACAGUUGCCGCUUUCCGGCAACUCCAGCUUUUACAACCGUAAUCUUUUCCGGGAAACGCUUGCGGCGAACCCUAUGCUCGAAACCG
rnacentral:lncRNA from 1 species